UAGGGAAUCUUCCGCAAUGGGCGAAAGCCUGACGGAGCAACGCCGCGUGAGUGAUGAAGGUCUUCGGAUCGUAAAACUCUGUUAUCAGGGAAGAACAAAUGUGUAAGUAACUGUGCACAUCUUGACGGUACCUGAUCAGAAAGCCACGGUUAACUACGUGCCAGCAGCCGCGGUAAUACGUAGGUGGCAAGCGUUAUCCGGAAUUAUUGGGCGUAAAGCGCGCGUAGGCGGUUUUUUAAGUCUGAUGUGAAAGCCCACGGCUCAACCGUGGAGGGUCAUUGGAAACUGGAAAACUUGAGUGCAGAAGAGGAAAGUGGAAUUCCAUGUGUAGCGGUGAAAUGCGCAGAGAUAUGGAGGAACACCAGUGGCGAAGGCGACUUUCUGGUCUGUAACUGACGCUGAUGUGCGAAAGCGUGGGGAUCAAACAGGAUUAGAUACCCUGGUAGUCCACGCCGUAAACGAUGAGUGCUAAGUGUUAGGGGGUUUCCGCCCCCUUAGUGCUGCAGCUAACGCAUUAAGCACUCCGCCUGGGGAGUACGACCGCAAGGUUG
rnacentral:rRNA from 1 species